rnacentral:rRNA from 1 species
UGGCUCAGGACGAACGCGGGCGGCGUGCCUAAUACAUGCAAGUCGAGCGCGGGAAGCGAACGGAACUCUUCGGAGGGAAGUUCGUGGAACGAGCGGCGGACGGGUGAGUAACACGUAGGCAACCUGCCUGUAAGACUGGGAUAACUCGCGGAAACGCGAGCUAAUACCGGAUAACACUUUCUAUCACCUGAUGGAAAGUUGAAAGGCGGCUUUUGCUGUCACUUACAGAUGGGCCUGCGGCGCAUUAGCUAGUUGGUGAGGUAACGGCUCACCAAGGCGACGAUGCGUAGCCGACCUGAGAGGGUGAUCGGCCACACUGGGACUGAGACACGGCCCAGACUCCUACGGGAGGCAGCAGUAGGGAAUCUUCCGCAAUGGACGAAAGUCUGACGGAGCAACGCCGCGUGAGUGAUGAAGGUUUUCGGAUCGUAAAACUCUGUUGUCAGGGAAGAACAAGUACGAUAGUAACUGAUCGUACCUUGACGGUACCUGACCAGAAAGCCACGGCUAACUACGUGCCAGCAGCCGCGGUAAUACGUAGGUGGCAAGCGUUGUCCGGAAUUAUUGGGCGUAAAGCGCUCGCAGGCGGUUCUUUAAGUCUGAUGUGAAAUCUUGCGGCUCAACCGCAAACGUGCAUUGGAAACUGGAGGACUUGAGUGCAGAAGAGGAGAGUGGAAUUCCACGUGUAGCGGUGAAAUGCGUAGAGAUGUGGAGGAACACCAGUGGCGAAGGCGACUCUCUGGUCUGUAACUGACGCUGAGGAGCGAAAGCGUGGGGAGCGAACAGGAUUAGAUACCCUGGUAGU